AUGCUUGACCUCAUUGAUCGUGUCGAGUUUCUAAGCCAUAAGGAACAAGCGGCUGCUCUCCUCCCGGAUAUUAAAGGUGCAGUGUUCGAUGCGGAGGACCUGCUUGAUGAGUUUGAUUAUGAUGUACUCAAGUUGAAGGUUGAAUGCAGCAAGAAUUUGGAGCCAGAUCAUUAUAAUGACACCUUUCUGGAAUUCUUUGACAGAUCCAGUGAUUACGUAAGACUAGUCAACAUGAUUCAAGAAAAAUUAGAUCAUGUUCAUAAGCAGGCCAUGGAUAUGGGCUUGCACCAAGCACCACGGAAGUUUGAUAAAUCAGUUAGGCCAGAAACAACUAGCUACUUUAAUUGUGUGGAAAAAAUGGUUGGUCGUGAAAAAGAAAUGAAGGAGUUGUUGGGAAAACUAGGAGUUCGUGGACUGAAGAGAGGAAGAACUGAAAGCAAAGCAAGAAUGACAGAGAUGCAUGUGUUAUCCAUUGUUGGCAUGGGAGGUGUCGGGAAGACAACGAUGGCCCAACAAAUCUGCAAGAAUACAAAUGUGAAGAAACACUUUGGCCCCAUAAUUUGGACAUGUGUUUCAGAUGACUUCGACACAAAAGGGUUAACGAAAGCUAUUAUAGAGGGCCUCGGAGGAGACGCGUCAUCUAAUAAUCUGAAUGUUCUUAUGGAUAAACUGAAAGAUCGUGUCAAGUCCAAAAAGUUCUUGCUUGUCCUUGAUGACAUGUGGGAUGAUAUCUUGAAGGAUGACGCGGCAGGGUGGAAGAGCUUGUCUGCAUGUUUGAAAAGUGGCGCUGAAGGGAGUAGGAUUUUGUUCACCACUAGAUUCCGCGAGGUUGGUGAGCUAGUUGGCCCUACGAAUAAUUAUGAGUUAAAUGGCUUAGAACAAAAGGUAUUCUGGGAUUUCUUCAAAUCCUGUGCAUUUGGAUCCACGAGUUCUUGCAACGACCAGGAGUCAUUGGAGUUGGAGCGCAUCGGUAAAGACAUUGUUCCAAAGUUGAAGGGUUCCCCAUUAGCUGCCAAGACUAUUGGACGCUUGCUGAGAAUGGAACUAAGUACAAUACACUGGAAAAAUAUAAAGGGAAGUGAACUUUGGAAAUUAAAACAAUCAGAUACUGACAUUCUGCCAGCCCUUCGAUUGAGCUAUUUGUAUCUACCGCAGAAACUGAAGAGAUGCUUCUCAAUCUGUGCGAUGUUUCCCAAGGAUCACAAAUUUGGGAAGGAUUUUCUAGCUGAUAUUUGGAUUGCACAAGGAUAUGUGGAGGGGCCCGAAGAAGCAUCAAUGUGCUUUGAUGCCCUUGCAAAUCGUUCAUUCUUCCAGAAACCAUCAUCACAGAGUCCUAACUAUGUUAUUCAUGAUCUGAUGCAUGAUACAGCACAGCUAGUCUCGAAGGAUGAGUGCUUCAUUAUAAAGCAUGUUAGUGACCUGGACAAAGUUCCUUCAAAUGUCCAUCAUCUGUCAAUAUUCACAAACGAAAAUGUCCAGUCUUCUGAAUUGAAGAGCAUAUGCGACAAGAAAAAUUUGAGGUCCCUGGUAUGCGAUAAAUCAUACAGAAAAGCAAAAGAUUUUGAGCCUGUGAUAAACAGUUGGUUCAGGGAGCUACCGAAAAUCCGUGUAAUGAGUUCUAGAAUUUCCAGAGUAUGA
rnacentral:rRNA from 1 species